GACGUAGGGCGCGAGCGUUGUUCGGAUUUACUGGGCGUAAAGGGCGCGUAGGCGGUCGUGACAAGUCACUUGUGAAAUCUCCGGGCUUAACUCGGAACGGUCAAGUGAUACUGUCGGACUAGAGUACAGAAGGGGCAACUGGAAUUCUCGGUGUAGCGGUGAAAUGCGUAGAUAUCGAGAGGAACACCUGCGGCGAAGGCGGAUGUGCUGGGCUGAUACUGACGCUGAGGCGCGAAAGCCAGGGGAGCGAACGAG
rnacentral:rRNA from 1 species